rnacentral:lncRNA from 1 species
AAAAUAAAACAUCUACCUGCAGUAGGGUACCUCUAGCUCGGCACGUCGGGUAGUGCUCUAACUCGUGACGCCCUUGCCUCGAUCCUGAUCUGCGAUAGCAGCAGCCGACGACAAUGGCUCUGCAAAAAUAAUGUGUAACAACAGGGCGUGAGAACUACUAUAAAAAUAGGUAGUCCUUAGUGGGUGCCGCCCUAAACAACAUCGGUCCACCCACUAAGUCUACAGAAGGGAGCCAGGAUAGUAGUAAAUACAGGAAUAAAAUCUACCGCUAUGAAUCACUACACUAUCAUGUUCUACACUAACCAACUGUAGAAAAUGUCAAAUCUGACCCAAUCCAAUUGGGACUGUAAGCAUACCCGUCCCUGGGACUGAACACACCCGUCCCUGCCCAGUUGUGACUAUCCAGCUACCUCCACACUACUAGUCCGUGGAGAGCAAGUCCAACCGGCAUGAGCGACACCAACGCGAAAGCACAGCGCCCGUCUCCGGAGUGAUACUCGUGGGAGCUACCCAACCGAGUAUGUAGCGUAUAUCUGUCGAGCUCAAUCAGGCUCUCAAAAGCCAAAGUCCAGUAACCGACUCAAACUGGUCUAACAACCAACAGGUAACGUGCCCUCGGCACAAUCCGACGCCAAAAAGGCGAUACGGGUCCACCGUCAACCCCGACGGCACCCAACAAUCCGGAACAGCCUGAACGCUACUGUAAAAAUAUACUCGGCAUCCCGGCACGAGCGUAACUGAAAGCUAAAGUACCUGGAAUACUCACUAUGAGGAUACUGCUACAGUAUGAAANUGAGUAUUCCAGGUACUUUAGCUUUCAGUUACGCUCGUGCCGGGAUGCCGAGUAUAUUUUUACAGUAGCGUUCAGGCUGUUCCGGAUUGUUGGGUGCCGUCGGGGUUGACGGUGGACCCGUAUCGCCUUUUUGGCGUCGGAUUGUGCCGAGGGCACGUUACCUGUUGGUUGUUAGACCAGUUUGAGUCGGUUACUGGACUUUGGCUUUUGAGAGCCUGAUUGAGCUCGACAGAUAUACGCUACAUACUCGGUUGGGUAGCUCCCACGAGUAUCACUCCGGAGACGGGCGCUGUGCUUUCGCGUUGGUGUCGCUCAUGCCGGUUGGACUUGCUCUCCACGGACUAGUAGUGUGGAGGUAGCUGGAUAGUCACAACUGGGCAGGGACGGGUGUGUUCAGUCCCAGGGACGGGUAUGCUUACAGUCCCAAUUGGAUUGGGUCAGAUUUGACAUUUUCUACAGUUGGUUAGUGUAGAACAUGAUAGUGUAGUGAUUCAUAGCGGUAGAUUUUAUUCCUGUAUUUACUACUAUCCUGGCUCCCUUCUGUAGACUUAGUGGGUGGACCGAUGUUGUUUAGGGCGGCACCCACUAAGGACUACCUAUUUUUAUAGUAGUUCUCACGCCCUGUUGUUACACAUUAUUUUUGCAGAGCCAUUGUCGUCGGCUGCUGCUAUCGCAGAUCAGGAUCGAGGCAAGGGCGUCACGAGUUAGAGCACUACCCGACGUGCCGAGCUAGAGGUACCCUACUGCAGGUAGAUGUUUUAUUUUG